rnacentral:miRNA from 1 species
UGCGAGUGGAGCACUGCUGACU